UGGGAUAACUCCGGGAAACCGGGGCUAAUACCGAAUAAUCCAUUUCCUCACAUGGGGAGAUGUUAAAAGACGGCAUCUCGCUGUCACUACAGGAUGGGCCCGCGGCGCAUUAGCUAGUUGGUGAGGUAACGGCUCACCAAGGCGACGAUGCGUAGCCGACCUGAGAGGGUGAUCGGCCACACUGGGACUGAGACACGGCCCAGACUCCUACGGGAGGCAGCAGUAGGGAAUCUUCCACAAUGGACGAAAGUCUGAUGGAGCAAUGCCGCGUGAGUGAAGAAGGUUUUCGGAUCGUAAAACUCUGUUGUGAGGGAAGAACAAGUACGAGAGUAACUGCUCGUACCUUGACGGUACCUCAUUAGAAAGCCACGGCU
rnacentral:rRNA from 1 species